CGUGUUUUAGGAUCCAGCGUUAUCCAAUCACAAUUGUAAGCCGCCGAUAAUAUCGCUGUACUCUUGAAACAUAAAAAUAAAUUUUGCAGUACAGAAAAACUUGUAAUAAUACGCACGUGGCAAACGUUAUGAGCCCCAAGAAUUUAAAACUGAAUAUACUGUGCUGUACAAAAUACGAAACUUUGCUACGUACAUAAAACAAAAACUAAAUUGAA